rnacentral:pre_miRNA from 1 species
UCUUUGGUUAUCUAGCUGUAUGAUUGCCCGAAACCAUCAUAAAGCUAGGUUACCAAAGGCA